rnacentral:misc_RNA from 1 species
GAUGAAGAACGCAGUGAAAUGCGAUAAGUAAUGUGAAUUGCAGAAUUCAGUGAAUCAUCGAAUCUUUGAACGCACCUUGCGCUCUUUGGUAUUCCGAAGAGCAUGCCUGUUUGAGUGUCAUGAAAAUAUCAACCUUGACUUGGGUUUUGUGCUCUAGUCUCGGCUUGGAAUUGGGUGCUUGCCGCUUUUACGAGCGGCUCACCUUAAAUGUAUUAGCUGGAUCUGUCUUUGAGACUUGGUUUGACUUGGCGUAAUAAGUAUUUCGCUAAGGACAUUCUUCGGAGUGGCCUCGUGUCUAGGACGCUUGUCCGCUUUCCAAUACAAGUGCCACCUCGUGGACAUGACUUUUUAUUAUCUGGCCUCAAAUCAGGUAGGACUACCCGCUGAACUUAAGCAUAUCAAUAAGCGGAGGA